CCCUAAGUUCCGGGUUCGAUCAGCCUCCCUUAGUCAGUACGAAGUUGGCAGUGUCACGAACCCUUCAUUUAACCUAGAAAUGGAUGUUCAGUUUGGUGUGAAGAACACCAACUUCGGACACUUCAAGUACAAGGAUGGAAUUGUUGAGUUUGAUUAUAGGGGGACAAAAAUUGGACAGACCAAUGUGUACGAGGAACGUGCCAAGGCUCGAUCGACUAGAAAGGUCGAGGCCUCUCUGGACCUAAGUUCGAAUGGGUUGAACGCCAAUUCUCAAUUAGCGAGUGAUAUUAGCUUGGGGAUUAUCCCAAUUACGUCCACUUCUAGGUUGGAGGGGAAGAUACACUUGAUGAAGGUGAUCAAGAAGAAGAGGUCUGCUCAUAUGAACUGCACCAUGGACAUCGUUCUUGCUACGCGGUCGAUCCAAAAUAUUGUCUGCAAGUGAUACUUCAUACGUAUAUUGUUUAUUUCCUUUUUCAUUUUUAUUCUUGUUUUGUGAGAUAUAAGACAUUUUGCUGCUAUACAUUGUAGUCCGUCAUAAAGUUUCCUAUGUAAUAUUCUUUGUUGUGAUUAUUGAUUUGGAGUGUUAAUUAAUAUAAGUCCCAUAUCGGG
rnacentral:lncRNA from 1 species